rnacentral:tRNA from 1 species
GGCCUUGCAGCUCGGUUGGUAGAGCACUUGCCCUACUAAAGCGAGAGUGACAGCCAUGUGUGGGUUCGAAUCCCACCGGGGUGA